rnacentral:misc_RNA from 1 species
UCCGGCUUAUCACCGGCAGUCCCUCUAGAGUGCCCAACUCAAUGCUGGCAACUAAAGGCGAGGGUUGCGCUCGUUGCGGGACUUAACCCAACAUCUCACGACACGAGCUGACGACAGCCAUGCAGCACCUGUGCAAGCUCCCCUUGCGGGGUCGUUCCGCUUUCACGGUCCUACCACUUGCAUGUCAAGGCCAGGUAAGGUUCUUCGCGUUGCAUCGAAUUAAGCCACAUACUCCACCGCUUGUGCAGGCCCCCGUCAAUUUCUUUGAGUUUUAAUCUUGCGACCGUACUCCCCAGGCGGUGCGUUUAUCGCGUUAGCUUCGCCACGGAAGGGGUCGAUUCCUCCCACAGCAAACGCACACCGUUUAGGGCCGGGACUAC